rnacentral:rRNA from 1 species
UACGGAGGGUGCGAGCGUUUGUCCGGAAUCACUGGGCGUAAAGGGCGCGUAGGCGGCCCGGCAAGUCAACGGUGAAAGCUUGGGGCUCAACCCCGAGUCGGCCGUCGAUACUUCCGGGCUGGAGCACUGUAGAGGCAGGUGGAAUUCCGGUGUAGCGGUGGAAUGCGUAGAGAUCCGGAAGAACACCGGUGGCGAAGGCGGCCGCUGG